GACGAACGCUGGCGGCGUGCCUAAUACAUGCAAGUAGAACGCUGAAGGAGGAGCUUGCUCUUCUGGAUGAGUUGCGAACGGGUGAGUAACGCGUAGGUAACCUGCCUGGUAGCGGGGGACAACUAUUGGAAACGAUAGCUAAUACCGCAUAACAGUAGAUGUUGCAUGACAUUUGCUUAAAAGGUGCAAUUGCAUCACUACCAGAUGGACCUGCGUUGUAUUAGCUAGUUGGUGGGGUAACGGCUCACCAAGGCGACGAUACAUAGCCGACCUGAGAGGGUGAUCGGCCACACUGGGACUGAGACACGGCCCAGACUCCUACGGGAGGCAGCAGUAGGGAAUCUUCGGCAAUGGACGGAAGUCUGACCGAGCAACGCCGCGUGAGUGAAGAAGGUUUUCGGAUCGUAAAGCUCUGUUGUAAGAGAAGAACGAGUGUGAGAGUGGAAAGUUCACACUGUGACGGUAUCUUACCAGAAAGGGACGGCUAACUACGUG
rnacentral:rRNA from 1 species